ensembl:lncRNA
ACUCAAGAGAGUACUGCAUCAAACCUGUGUGUGAAACUGCAGUCUGCAACAUCCAAAGGAAUUGAACCAUUGAAGUUAUUCUUUCAAAUCAUACUGAUGGAGAUCACACAUCCAGGAUCAGCGUUCUCCUUUUGCGCAGAGGGACGGCGCAUACUCGAGAUGGAGGCGAUCCACUCCACAGAAGAAGAAAAAUGCGUCAGUCCCCUUAACUCUCGCUUCGUAAUUGACGUAAAUAAUGCUUGUGACACGGAGCAGUGUGUAACACGAUGGCUUGCAUGGCAAGGAAAACGGUGCUUGUUAUCAGGUAUCUCAACCUGCACUACAUUCACUUUCCCUCACAAAGCCAUUUGAUACGACUUCUAUCACAAUCUCCCCCCCCCCAAUCCAACCACACCUGUCUCCUUGAAGAACGGGGUCGAGAGGACGGGUGCCAGUCUGGAGGUUCAUCAGCUGUGAUCAAAGCCAGCCCCAGCACCAGUCCUCCCCUCCGUCUCCACUCUCAUUCUUAAUCUGCCCGCCCCUUCUCUUUCCCUCUCCUCUGGAGUCAAUCUCAAAGAUUUCCUCUGCCCCCCCCCCCCCUACACACCCCUGUUAAAGAUUCCCCACGCCUGAUCCCUCGCUUUGUUUGGUCUUAAGAAGGGCAAACCUCAGGGGGGGACAGGAGCACCAGACUGGGGAGGAGGAGGCGGACUCAUUUAGAAAACACAAUCAGCCCAAAGUGCCUCGGACACUUCACCUUCAGUCGCUCUUUCUCUCUCGGUAAAUGUAUAUCUCUCCGUCUCUAUUUAUAUAUCUCUCUCUCUCUCUAUUUAAAUAUCUUUCUUUGUAUCUCUCUCUCUCUAUUCAUACUGUUUCUCUAUUUAUGUCUCUCUAUUUCGCCCUCUCUUGCCCCUCUCGCCGUGUUGCUCUGGAUAGGUCUACAGUACUGUUCUAUACGGUGACGCCUUUUAAGCGAUUCCUAAUUUGCAGAGCAUGGCUGGCCGAGCUGCUAGCUGAGCUGCUCAAUCAUGAGAAGUUUUCAAUAGCGCCCUGUGAAUUAUUAAAGCUUAUAGGUGCCUUGAAUGGUUUUAGAUGCAGUUGAGAAAGGGUACAUAUCAUUAUUUCAUUAUGUUCUAUCAAGGGCUGAGACACUACAGUGUCACACAUAGAACAAUAGUGUGCAGUGCAAAAUGGCACACAAGAUUCCAUCAUCGAUGCUGACACCAUUGCCAACUAUGUCCCUGUAACAUGCAUGAAGGUACAAAGGCUAGUGUCUAGCAAACCUAUUUUCUCUCAUGGGGUCAUAGAAACAGACCUACAUUAUAUAACACUAGCUCUGUCCUUAAAAAAGCCAACAUGUUUAUUAGUCAUAUUUUGAAUACAUUAUAAUAUUUAUAGUACUACAUCUAUUACUACUAGUACUCAUUAUACUACUGCAGCUAUUACUACUACUAUUCCUACUUAAUUUAAAUUAGAGGAGACUUGAGUUGCAAAGGAAUGAUGUAUUGCUACAUUUGUCAUUCAGACUCCCAACCCUGUACAAUUAUAACAAAAUGCAGAUGUUAUAUGAUCAAAGCAGAGGAUAUUUAAUAAAUCAGGGAGUUCUGAAGCUGGGGGGGAGGAAACUGGGAGAGCUGGAUGACCUUGCGUGAUGGGUGAGGAGUACGGAAGAUUUGAAAUCCCUUAAAGGGCAAGUAGCAGCCUUGACCAAAUCUUUGCUGUAUCUUCAUUUAUACAGCACAUGUGAAUAGACUGUAGCGAAAGGUGUCAA